UACGAAGGGGACUAGCGUUGUUCGGAAUCACUGGGCGUAAAGCGCACGUAGGCGGAUGUGUCAGUCAGGGGUGAAAUCCCGGGGCUCAACCUCGGAACUGCCUUUGAUACAGCACGUCUCGAGUCCGGAAGAGGUUAGUGGAAUUCCCAGUGUAGAGGUGAAAUUCGUAGAUAUUGGGAAGAACACCAGUGGCGAAGGCGGCUAACUGGUCCAGAUCUGACGCUGAGGUGCGAAAGCGUGGGGAGCAAACAGG
rnacentral:rRNA from 1 species